rnacentral:lncRNA from 1 species
ACAUAUCUUUAUCUUACCCUCACAUUGUUCCGUUGCAAUGGGCGAAGUCUCGCUUUCGCUCAACAAAGGAUAUCUUCCACCUCCACUCCUCAAAUUGUUACUAUUCAAAGUGACAACUCCACGCUCCCUGUCGGACAACUCCACGCUCCCUGUCGGCGUCGCCCUAACUGAGACCAUUAUGCAUUGUGGUCUCAAGUCAUGGAGAUGCGCAUUGUUGCCCUCGAAAAAUUAGGUUACCUAACAUGUGAC